rnacentral:tRNA from 1 species
GCUUAUGUAGUUUAACGGUUAAAACUCGGACCUCAUAUGUUCGUAAUAAAAGUUCGAUUCUUUUCAUAGGCU